CCAAAAACAUAUUGUGGAGCAGCACAAGAGAGGAAAGUGAAGUGGCGUCUGUUUCUCUUGGUCUCCUCGGUUCUUCCGUCGCGGCAGACACUACAAUACUGCCCCUAGAUGGCGGGCGAGCAGCACCCGAUCCCCCGGCCGUGGAUCCUCGACUUUCUCCUCCCCGCCAUCGUCAUCCUCCUCAUCGCCGCCCAUGUCUUCGCCCUGGUUUAUUGGAUCUACAGAUUAGCCACCGACAAGCAACCGCAAGCUGGCCCGGAGCGGAGAAGCAAGGCCCAUUAAUCCGUGAGUUUGCUUGCUCGAUAACCGGUUAUCUGCUCUUGCAUUUUGUUGUACGCUUGGUCUUUUGCGAGAAUUGCAUUCGAUCAUUUGGGCAUUUUGUAUAUGUUGUUAAGCUUGGGUAGCAUUUGGAAAUUGGGGAUGAGCUAAGAGAUGUACAUCGUUUGUGUUUAAAGCAUUUCUUGACUUGGGAAAUCCCAGCAUUGCUAUAACCAAAAUUAUUUGUCUUCUUC